UGGGCGUAAAGGGCUCGCAGGCGGUUUCUUAAGUCUGAUGUGAAAGCCCCCGGCCCUUCCGGGGAGGGUCAUUGGAAACUGGGGAACUUGAGUGCCCAUUAGGAGAGUGGAAUUCCACGUGUAGCGGUGAAAUGCGUAGAGAUGUGGAGGAACACCAGUGGCGAAGGCGACUCUCCGGUCUGUAACUGACGCUGAAGAGCGAAAGCGUGGGGAGCGAACAGGAUUAGAUACCCUGGUAGUCCACGCCGUAAACGAUGAGUGCUAAGUGUUAGGGGGUUUCCGCCCCUUAGUGCUGCAGCUAACGCAUUAAGCACUCCGCCUGGGGAGUACGGUCGCAAGACUGAAACUCAAAGGAAUUGACGGGGGCCCGCACAAGCGGUGGAGCAUGUGGUUUAUUUCUAAGCAACGCUAAGAACCUUACCAGGUCUUGACAUCCUCUG
rnacentral:rRNA from 1 species